rnacentral:rRNA from 1 species
AAUUUUGGACAGUGGGGGAAACCCUGAUCCAGCCAUCCCGCGCGUAUGAUGAAGGCCUUCGGGUUGUCAAGUACUUUUGGCAGUGCAGAAAAGGUAUCUCCUAAUACGAGAUACUGCUGACGGUAUCUGCAGACUAAGCACCGGCUUACUAUGUGCCAGCAGCCGCGGUAAUACGUAGGGUGCAAGCGUUAAUUGGAAUUACUGGUCGUAAAGCGUGUGUAGGCGGUUCGGAAAGAAAGAUGUGAAAUCCCAGGGCUCAACCUUGGAACUGCAUUUUUAACUGCCGAGCUAGAGUAUGUCAGAGGGGGGUAGAAUUCCACGUGUAGCAGUGAAAUGCGUAGAUAUGUGGAGGAAUACCGAUGGCGAAGGCAGCCCCCUGGGAUAAUACUGACGCUCAGACACGAAAGCGUGGGGAGCAAACA